rnacentral:rRNA from 1 species
CAGCAGCAGCCGCGGUAAUACGAAGGGGGCUAGCGUUGUUCGGAAUUACUGGGCGUAAAGCGCACGCAGGCGGCUCGAUAAAUUAGAAGUGAAAGCCUUGGGCUUAACCUGAGAAUUGCUUUUAAGACUGUCGAGCUAGAAUCCAGAAGAGGGUAGUGGAAUUCCGAGUGUAGAGGUGAAAUUCGUAGAUAUUCGGAAGAACACCAGUGGCGAAGGCGACUACCUGGUCUGGCAUUGACGCUCAUGUGCGAAAGCGUGGGGAGCAAACAGGAUUAGAUACCCCAGUAGUCCCUGUCUCUUAUAC